UAGACUCGCUGACAUUCAGGUUCUCAGU
rnacentral:piRNA from 1 species